UCAAAAAGGUUUCAGGUGAGAUUCAUAAAUAUAAUUUCAUUAUCUAGGUAAUUUGCAUGUGGAAUUAAACUGGCACAGACUUUAUCUUGUUUUUUGUUUAUGGAUUUAUCGACGAGGAGCAGUGAGAGUCCAGCUCUGAUCACAUGUGAUGACACAGAAUGAAACGAGUGAAGCUCCGAUUGAUCAGAUCUGUGGCAACGAGACAGAAUCAUGUGUUUUAUUAACUCUGACCGCAAAACAUAACAAACCAAAAAAAGGAAAUCUUCUUAAUGCAUUAAAAGAAAAUACAUAUUUCUAUCCCCUCACAGUCCUCAGACGUGCUGUGGACCGCUGCCUGCCGUUUGUCAGGGGACGGCGUUGUUCAAGGUUCAGAGCUGAUACCGAAUGAGGGCGGGUCAAAGUCCUUCCACUGACCUCAGGUCUGCUUAUAGAAUCACUUUCACGAUAAAUCAUUUCUGGACGGCUUGACCCAGUUUGCUGAGUCAGCGUCGUGUUUCUCACAGAUGUAACAGUCGCUCAGAUCCUAAAGAUGGACGACGUGACCGCUCCCAAAGUGAAGCAGCACAGGUCAUGACCCCUCCUCCUCCAUGUUAGCAGACGGGACAUGGACUAAACUGAAAGCAGACCUUAAAUAAAUGUUAAAAGAUGGUUUCUGUCAUUUCAGGUCGUUCUUAUCUCACUGUUCCUGAUCGGUUUGGUUUUAAUUUGUUAGUUGAUGAUAUACAAAUGAUUGACAGCUGACUCCUGCUAUUAGCAACAAAUGUUAUUCAAAUAAAACUGUAUUGAUUUAGUGUGGGAGUCACAUGGAUGAAAUAAAUCUUUUUCCCCUGGUUUAAA